UCCGAAUUGGUGUAGUGGCUAACAUUUGACGCUCUCAUCCCAACUAGGGGACCGUCAAGCCCGGGGUUCGAUUCCCCGAUUCGGAG